UACAGAGGUCCCAAGCGUUGUUCGGAUUCACUGGGCGUAAAGGGUGCGUAGGUGGUCGGGUAAGUCUGAUGUGAAAUCUCCGAGCUCAACUCGGAAACUGCAUCGGAUACUAUUCGGCUCGAGGGUUGGAGGGGGGACUGGAAUACUUGGUGUAGCAGUGAAAUGCGUAGAUAUCAAGUGGAACACCAGUGGCGAAGGCGAGUCCCUGGACAACUCCUGACACUGAGGCACGAAAGCUAGGGGAGCAAACAGGAUUAGAAACCCCGGUAGUCC
rnacentral:rRNA from 1 species